GAUGAACGCUGGCGGCGUGCCUAAUACAUGCAAGUCGAGCGAACGGACGAGAAGCUUGCUUCUCUGAUGUUAGCGGCGGACGGGUGAGUAACACGUGGAUAACCUACCUAUAAGACUGGGAUAACUUCGGGAAACCGUAGCUAAUACCGGAUAAUAUUUUGAACCGCAUGGUUCAAAAGUGAAAGACGGUCUUGCUGUCACUUAUAGAUGGAUCCGCGCUGCAUUAGCUAGUUGGUAAGGUAACGGCUUACCAAGGCAACGAUGCAUAGCCGACCUGAGAGGGUGAUCGGCCACACUGGAACUGAGACACGGUCCAGACUCCUACGGUAGGCAGCAGUAGGGAAUCUUCCGCAAUGGGCGAAAGCCUGACGGAGCAACGCCGCGUGAGUGAUGAAGGUCUUCGGAUCGUAAAACUCUGUUAUUAGGGAAGAACAUAUGUGUAAGUAACUGUGCACAUCUUGACGGUACCUAAUCAGAAAGCCACGGCUAACUACGUG
rnacentral:rRNA from 1 species